GUGUGCGUGUGUGUGUGUGUGUGUGUCUAGACUGGCCAAUGGUUUUCUUGGGGAUCAUGUUAAUAAAUGGGGCUCAUCAGGCUCCGUUCAAAGUGCAGACACUGUUAAGCUUCUUUUCAAUACUGGCGCUAAAUUUAGCCGCAAAAAAAAUGGAGCAAAACGCAACGCGGCGUGCGGCUCUGGUGUCGCGUCCGGGAAUAGUCGACCAGUCACACACGCUGCGAGACGAGACCGGAAUACACUGGUUCGACUGGAUAUUAACGCAGACUUUAACUACUACACUUCCCUAUCAGAACUCGCACACCGGGUUGAGGUCAUGAGGGCUGGGGAGGAGAGAGCCACAGGCAUCACCAAGAGCCAACCGGAGAAAAGAGUCCAGCCAAGGGACCAAUCGGAAAAGAAAACUCUGAGCAUUGACAACCAACCACAGAGCAUCAAGAACACCAAGUCGGCCAUCAAUGACCUCUUUAAGGAAAUGCAGGACCGGGUGUCCCAGGGGAAGGGGAACACGGGCAGGGUCAUAGACUUCAGGAAGUUCCUGAAACGGCCCGACAGACCUCCUCCCCCCCCCCCUGCUGCGCCUCGUCGCAAGGCGUCCCCGCCCCCGCCCCGGCUGGUGAAGAGGAAGGUGGAGGUGGACCUGCUGAAGCUCUGCUGGGGGGAGUCGUGGAAGACCCUCAAGCCGACCAAGAGGGGGCGCUGUCACCAAACCUCCUCGCUGAGGAGCACCAUCAGCCCGGGCAGGAGGUCCCGGGCAGGAGCCGCCAGGGGCGGGAGGAGGAGGCCAGCCCGGGAUGGACAGACUCCUGGAAACUGGUGAAGCCCAGCCCAGCGCCUCCCGGCCCCACCGGCGUGGGGGAGGGCCAGGCGUGGGAGGUGGUGACAGAGAGCCGGUCCCUGGGCAGGUAUCAGCCGCGGGUGGGGGGCUACUGCCUCCCCGUGUGGGCCACGACCUGGAAGACCAUGAUCUUUGUGUUCAGGCAGCAGAAGCCAUGGUGGGACAGGGAGUGGCCCAGCCGGCCCCCCCCUGAACCACAGGACAAGACCCCCCAGCUGCUGGCCUUGGAGACACAGUGUGAGCGUCCCGACUGGCAGCAGGCCUGGAGAAUGUCUGUAACUGCUCCGCCGGCCGACACAGAACCCCCAGCUGGGACAACCAAGAUGGCCGACGUCUUUCUCCCAGGUUGGAACUCUGCCUGGCGACUGGCAGGAGCUCACCCUACUUCAGACGAGGGUGCAGAGCCAAGGAACUGGAACGACCUGUCCUGGAAGCUCCGCCCACAGAGCAGAUGGUGUAUGCCAUCACUAACUUCCCAGCAUCACCAUGCCAAUGCUUUAGAGAAGAGCCGAUUGGCUGCCAGAUUCCUUCUGACUCAGUCCCUCAAGACAGAGGGGGAGGACGAGGAAGAGGGCGAGGAAGAGGAGAUGGAAGAGGAGACAGAAGAGGAGACAGAAGAGGAGGAGACAGAAGAGGAGGAGGAGACUGAAGAGGAGGAAGAGGAGGAGGAGACUGAAGAGGAGGAGGAGAGGCAGGAGGGCUCCAUGAAGGUUCUUCGUCUGCGGUUCCGUGAGUUUGGUGCGGCGUGGAGGAGCAGUUCCUGGCGGGCGUUCCACCGCCCGGAGGAGAAGGAGGAGAUGGACUCCGGCUGGAGGAGCGCCUGGAGGCUCCACAGGGAGGUGCAGGCUAACAGCGUGCAGGAGGAAGUGCUGCUCCUCAGGGGGCGGGGCCUCUGGGCCGAUGAUGGCCUUCCAGACCUCAAGGAGUGGAAGAAGAGCUGGAGAUACGCAGCAAAGGAGGAGGAAGAGGAGGAGGAGGAGGAGGAGGAGGAGGAGGAGGAGGAGGAGGAGGAGGGAGACGAGAAGGUCGAGGAGGAAAAUAAAAUAGAAGAAGUGAAGCCAUGGUGGAGGAGCUCAAGAUACGCAGAAGAAAAGCAGGUACAGGAGGAGGAAGAGGAGGAGGAGGAAGAAACAGAGCAGGAGGAGGAGGAAGACGAGAAGGUGGAGGAGGAGGAAAAUAAAAUAGAAGAAGUGAAGCCAUGGUGGAGGAGCUCGAGAUACACAGAAGAGAAGCAGGUACAGGAGGAGGAAGAGGAGGAGGAGGAAGAAACAGAGCAGGAGGAGGAGGAAGACGAGAAGGUGGAGGAGGAGGAAAAUAAAAUAGAAGAAGUGAAGCCAUGGUGGAGGAGCUCGAGGUAUGCAGGAGAGAAGGAGCAGUUGAAGGAAAAGGAGGAGGAGAAAGAAGAAGAGGACGAGGAGGUGGAAGAGGAGAAGGUGGAGGAAGUGAAAGAGUGGAGGAGGAACUGGAGACAGGCGAGAGAGAAGGAUGAGGAAACUGUGGAGGAGGAGAAGGAGGAUGAGACAGAAGAGGAGGAAGAGGAGAAGGAUGAGGAGACAGACCAGGAGGAGGAGGAAGAGGUGGAAGAGGAGGAGGAGGCAAAUAAAAUAGAAGAAGUGAAGCCAUGGUGGAGGAGCUCGAGAUAUGCAGGAGAAAAAGAGGAAGAGGAGACAGAGAAAGAGGAGAAGGAGGAGGAAGAGACAGAGCAGGAUGAGGAGGAAGAGGAGGAGGAGGAUGGGGAAGAGGAGAAGGUGGAGGAGGUGAAAGAUUGUAGGAGGAAUUGGAGAAAGGCAGGAGAGAAGGAUGAGGAGAUUGAGGAGCAGGGGCAGGAGGAGGAGACAGAGCAGGAGGAGGAGGAAGAUAAAGAGGUGGGGGAGGAAGAUAAACUAGAAGAAGUGGUGCCGUGGUGGAGGAGCUCGAGAUACCAAAGAGAGAAGGAGGAGGUGAAGGAAAAGGAGGAGGAGAAAGAAGAGGAGGAGGUGGAACUGGAGGAUGAGAAAGAAAGGGAGGAUGGGGAAGAGGAGGUGAAGGAGAGGGAGGAAAAUGAUGAAGAGGGAGCAACAGAGGAGAAGGGGAAGGGGGAGGAUCAAUUAGAGGAGAAGAUGAAUGAUUGGAGGAGGAGCUGGAGAUCCCCAGGAGAGGAGGAGGGAGAGGAGAAGGAGGAGGAAGAGGAGGAGGAAGAGGAGGAGGAGGAGGAGACAGAGGAGGAGGAGAAGGAGGAAGAGGAGGAGACAGAGCAGGAUGGGGAGGACGAGGAAGAGGUGGAGGAGGAGGAAAAUAAAAAAGAAGAGGUGGUGCCGUGGUGGAGGAGCUCGAGAUAUGCAAGAGAGAAGGAGAGGGUGAAGGAAAAGGAGGAGGAGAAAGAAGAGGAGGAUGAGAAAGAUGGGGAGGAGGAUGGGGAAGCGGGGAAGGUGGAGGAGGUGAAAGAUGAAGAGGAGACAGAGCAGGAUGAGGAAGAGGAAGAGAAAGAGUUGGAGGAGGCAAAGAUUGAAGAGGAGGAGAAGGAGGAGGAGGCUGAGGAGGAGACAGAGAAGGAUGGGGAGGAAGAGAGAGAGGUGGAGGAGGAGGAAAAUAAACUAGAAGAAGUGGUGCCGUCGUGGUGGAGCUCGAGGUACGCAGGAGAGAAGGAGAGGGUGAAGGAAAAGAAGGAGGACAAAGAAGAGGAGCUGAUGAAAGAGUGGAGGAAGGACUGGAGACAGGCAGGAGAGAAGGAGGAGGAGGAGGAGGAGGGAGAGGUGGAGGAGAAGCUAGAAGAGGAGAAGGUUGAGCAGGAGGAGGGGAGGGUAGAGGAUGCUGAUGAGGAGACAGAUGAGGAAGAGGUUCAGGAAAAGCAAGAUGAGGGAGAGGUGAAGGAGCAGGUGAAGGGGGAAGAGAUGGUGAAGGAAGAGGAAGAUGAAGAGGAGGAGGACUCAAAUGAGGAGGAAGAGGUAAAGGAGGAGGAGGUGAAGGUUACGGUAGAGGAGGUAGAUGAGGUUAGGGUGGAGCAGGAGAAGGAUAAUGAUGAAGAGGAGGAGACUGAUGAGGAGGAAGAGGUGAAGGUUGAGGUAGAGGAGGUAGAUGAGGUUAAUGUGGAGCAGGAGGAGGAGGACUAUAAAGAGGUGGAAGAGGUGAAGGAUGAGCAGGAUGAGGUAGAGGAGGAGGGUGAUGAAGAGGAGGAGACAGAUGAGGAGGAAGAGGUGAAGGAGAAGGUAGAGGAGGAAGAGGGAGGUGAGGUGAAGGUAGAGCAGGAGAUAAUGAAGAGGCCGAGACAGAUGAGGAGGAAGAGGUGAAGGUUGAGCAGGAGGAGGAGGAUGAAGAGGAGGAGACAGAUGAGGAGGAAGAGGAGAAGGAGAAGUUAGGGAAGAUGAAUGGGUCGGAGGAGUUGAAGGAGGGAGAUAAAGCAGAGGAAGGGGAGGUAGAUGAGAUAAAGGACAGGACGAGGAGAUCGAGAAACUCAGGAGGGAUGCAGGAGGUGGAGGUAGAGGAGGAAGAAGUGUUUGAGGAUGCGAUGGAAGAGUUUGAGGAUGCGAAAGAAGGGCAUGGCAUAGAUGCUGAGAAAGACGAGGAAGUAGAGGAGACAAAACAGUGGGAAAACUCUUAAUGUGAUUGUCCUCAUAUGUAUAAUAAAUUCCUAUUUAAUUGUAUCAUUCACAUUUAUAUAACAUGAAAGUAUAUUGUAUUUUUGUGUUCCCGUAUACAGUAGUAUGUUCCUGUAUGAGAUUUGUAUUAUUUAUAUUAAUUAUUUUAUGAUAUGUGUUAUAAUGAUAUUUCCCAGUUAAAUUGUUUUUUUUAAGUUACUUAUUGAUAUAUUAAUGAUAAUGUUGAAUAAUGCAAAGUAUGAUUAUUGUUGGAUUCCCUUCGGACAAAAACUUUGAAAACUAGAAAGAAUUAUUCAAGGGUUAAUUCUUCAAGUCUAGAGUGUUAAGAAAUUACUUUCAGUCGAUAAAAACUGUCUUAAUUAAAACUUUUUAUUGAAA
ensembl:lncRNA